UGAAACAAAGCCAAACCCUGCGUGAGCAGGGGACGGAAAGCCACGGGUCUUUCGUAAGACCAAGCUACUUCAGGGUGAAAGAAGGCCGAGUUGCCGUAG
rnacentral:ncRNA from 1 species